CUACGGGGUGCAGCAGUGGGGAAUCUUGGACAAUGGGCGCAAGCCUGAUCCAGCCAUGCCGCGUGAGUGAAGAAGGCCUUAGGGUCGUAAAGCUCUUUCGCCAGAGAUGAUAAUGACAGUAUCUGGUAAAGAAACCCCGGCUAACUCCGUGCCAGCAGCCGCGGUAAUACGGAGGGGGUUAGCGUUGUUCGGAAUUACUGGGCGUAAAGCGCGCGUAGGCGGAUUAGUCAGUCAGAGGUGAAAUCCCAGGGCUCAACCCUGGAACUGCCUUUGAUACUGCUAGUCUCGAGUUCGGGAGAGGUGAGUGGAAUUCCGAGUGUAGAGGUGAAAUUCGUAGAUAUUCGGAGGAACACCAGUGGCGAAGGCGGCUCACUGGCUCGAUACUGACGCUGAGGUGCGAAAGUGUGGGGAGCAAACAGGAUUAGAUACCCCAGUAGUC
rnacentral:rRNA from 1 species